CUCCCUCGAAUCGAAAGGGGACAUACAUCUCGAUUUUCUGGAGCAUUUACAAUAUGGGUGGCGUCAUCGGAGGACUAAUUCCGUUUGUUCUUAACUACCACCGGAGCCAAGCGGCUUCCGUCAACGAUGCAACUUACAUUGGGUUCAUGAUUUUCAUGUCCAUCGGGACUCUUUUAUCCCUCGCUAUCCUGCCCCCCAGCAAAAUUGUCCGGGAUGACGGGACUAAAUGUACGGACAUUCAGUACUCAAACGUCACAACUGAGGCCAUUGAGAUUGCCAAGCUGUUCACAAACUGGAAAAUGCUUCUUAUAAUCCCGGCUGCUUGGUCGAGCAUUUUUUUCUACACCUACCUAUUCAACAACGUCAAUAAAGUUAUGUUUAAUAUGAGGACUAGAGGAUUGAACAAUGUGUUCUACUGGGGAGCGGAGAUUUUCGGGUCCAUUGGGAUUGGAUACGUUAUGGAUUUCAGCUUCAAGAGCAGGAGGACUAGGGGUUUCGUGGGCAUUUCGGUUGUUGGUGUCCUCGGGACUGCAAUUUGGAUUGGCGGACUUGCCAACCAACUCAACUACUCUCGAAGCGAUUUGCCUGAGAAGUUGGAUUUUAAGGACUCCGGCUCUGCUUUCGCAGGACCGUUCGUGUUGUAUUUUAGUUUCGGGUUGCUUGAUGCCAUAUUCCAGAGAAUGGUUUUCUGGGUCAUUGGAGCCUUGGCUGAUAACUCUGAAAUUCUAAGCAGGUAAUAGAAUAUUCCUUGCUUCCCAAGUCUUUAACCUUUCAAUGAUCUUUGUGCGUUUGGGCAAUUUUUCGUGUGCAGGACUGGACAAUCCAAUCCAAUCCUGCGCACGAAAUGUGGACUUAGUGGCAUUCACAGAACAAUGUGUGAUUCUAAAAAUUUAUUUAAUUUUGUGCAUGUUUUGUACAGGUAUGUUGGAUUCUACAUGGGAAUACAGAGUGCAGGGUCAGCAGUAGCUUGGCAAGUCGAUGCGCACAAGGCAUCCUUCCUCUCCCAAUUGGUUACGAAUUUCACGCUUUACACCGUGAGUUAUCCGCUGCUGGUGGUUCUGAUCUUGCUGGCCGUGAAGGAUGAAGGUAAGGCUGAUGUGGAGGAAUUUACCAAGGGGAAGGUUGCUGAAUUUACCGAGGAGAAGUUGCUGAGCCUGCAGCCUCAGAGAAGUGAUCGUAAUGAUCGUCGGCUUAAUUAGCAGAUGAAAUUAGUCAUAAGCCAUCCAAAUGUUUGUCUUAAUUACGUCCAUACAAUCGAAUCUUCACGAAUUAUUGUAAUGGAAAUGCCAGUAUAAUUGAUGUAGCACGUUCAAAUUGUCAAAAAAUUUACAGAGUAAUCAAAGUUCAUGUUUUGAUAAAAUGUCUGAAUGACUAGUUCUUGACCACGAUUGUCCAUUAUAUUCAUGGAUGCUUGGAAGGAAUACUGAGAGAGUCUUCUACUCAUCGAGGAACCUUCAUGUCAAACCCUAGCUAGUGAUAGAGCCAGAUGAUAUUUGACGUGAUUUUCCUAUGAUCUCUCGAGCCUUGAGUAUUUACAAAUGCUUGGUUAACAAUCCUUCCACCCUUGGACCAACUGGAGGCACGCACAGUGAUGAUGCUUCCUCAGAAGGAUCUCAUCAUGGUGUUUGAAUGAUCGAGGAAACAACUAAGCAAGAUAAUGCAAAGGAAUCAUGGUUUUUGCUUCAGAACCGCAAGAAAGGAGCAUAGAGUUUGAUAUCUCAUAGUUGUUUGCCAAUUCAAUCAGUUAUUGGGUUCUUUCGCACCAGACAUUUUUCAUCGGAGGAUGCUUUCGUUGUUGUUUUAGCCAGAAGGUAAGACGCGUCCACUCAAUAUGAGCAAUAGAUCAGGUUUCCUUUGCCCGUUGGAUUUCGGAGGCCACCCUACUCGUAGUGUGUAUUUGCUGGUAUGUGAUUGAGUUGGGCUGUCUAAAUCCUAAUUAGUGUUUUUUAUGACAUGUUAAAAGCCUUCUGGAGUUUUAACCACUCGAGCAAGGCUCGAGCAGUCCUUGUGAGGCCUCGGUGGGGGUCCAAGUACCGCUUGAAGGGGCCUCGACAGGACUCGAGCAUUGCUCUAGAUUAUCUUGACGGGUUUUCGUCAUAUUGUUAAACGUCUUUUAGUAAGGAAGCGUCGUAAUCGUGGAGCAAUAAUGUGUUUGACUUUCGGAUACAUGGUCCGAGAUUUCGAUUUGAUACUUGAUGUGUUCGUUGGAUCUUGUUGCAGAUUAGGAUCUACUUCCAAAAACUACAGUAGAAAAUGGUGUAGAGCCAAAGUCUAUAAUCUUGAAACGUAGGUCAUCCCUUUAUCCUUUCCACAACCCUAUUGCUGGUGGUCCGUUCUUGGACCACCAUAAGUACCGAUGAAAAGUCAAUCACGUCUUGUUAAAAUUUUCACAAUUGAUUUGGAAUAUUAAUAUAGUGAUAUUCUCGGCAUAUGUAACGUUUAAGUCAUCAUGAUAUUGUGUCUGUAUCUUAAGUCAGUCGCACAACAGUAAUAAUUGAACUCUGAACAAGAUUAUAAAAGUUGCUUGAGUAAUGAACUUAUUAAACAAAAACUCAUUCAUUUAGGAGACCGAGUUUACAAUUGUCGAAUGUUUUUUUUUUUUCCACAAACCAACAAAAACAAUAUCUUCCUCUCAAGAACGCUCGAUAACUCCCUAUUGAAAUGAGUUUUUAAUCCUUUUAUUUUCUUUAAAAUGAGACUAAUUAGUGGUUUCGUCAUGACAAUUUACUUUUUAUAGACCGAAAAAAUCCGCAGAAUAUAUUGAAAUGAGUUUUUGGUCGAUCAGGAAUUGCAGCCGCCCGACUUGCCGUUUAAUGAGCUAAUAAUGCCAAAAUGCUUUAACGUCACUUGGUGCGCUUGCGUUUGAAGAGUUUGUCGAUGUCAACAGCAAACUUAGACUUUUCUGUGAAGUAUGCCAAACAAGUUGAAAACAACAUAUAGCCACUCUUAAUUUACAAUUUCUCCCUCACGCUUGGGAAGGAAAAUACAAUUACUUGAUUAUCUGCGCCUGCAUAAUCAUAUUAGACAAACCAAGUUUAAUUAGUUACUGAAUUAUUUGAUGUUACGGAAAACAGAAGAUUAUACGUUGCAGACAUGAGCUUAAGUUGGUUAACAUAUUGUUUCCGUUUUUUACCCAACUUCAAGUCAUGCUCUUAAUAAUAAACAAUACAUCGUUAUUAUGAGGAGAUUUUUCAGUUGUCGGAAACACGACCUGAUACACUAAUAAAAUAAAAUUGUACCUAAUAUUUUAUCCGUACGUCUUUAUUUCUUUAAAUCUCAUACCAUCGAAGUUGUUUUCGAUCUUCACACUUUAUCUCUCUUUUCUUGGACCCUGAAUCAAGGACGGUUUGGCAUGGACAUAUACUCAUAUGCCCAUUCCAACUUGGGAAUUGAAAUACAAGAUUCCCUUCCACCCCUAAUCUAACGAAUGAUUAAAAAUUUGAAACUGUGAUUUUUUUAUGCAUAUUCAUAUCCCAUCCCGUCAGGAUUAGGGAUUUAUAAUCUGACUUUUCUCAGCAUCAUUCUCACACGCCCCGCUGGACUCUGAAAACCCAGACAAAGCCUGGACUCCAUAAAUUGUCAUUUGCUAUGCAUUCUUUGUCCAAUCCAAGGGUCCUUGUCCGUUUUGACCCUUGCAAUUGGUCCCGGACUAUAUCGUCCCGAGCUAAAUCCUUCUGCUAAUCACAACCACAUAAGUUCAUCCUUUCGAUUCUCCACCAAAUCCCCGUAAAUUAGAUUAGUUUAGAAUAUCGCUCGAUAAAAAGUUCGGAUCCCAGUUCCAUUUGGCAUUCAAAGGGAGGAACUUUGUGAUUAAAAUCACACAGAAGUCGUAAAAUUUAUCACCUGGGAUUCGAUGGUUUCCGAAGGAGUGGAAGAAUCGGGAGGCACGGAGGUGCCCCAGUCGAAAUUCAGGUACAACUCGCCGUUUGUCCAAGUGAGUUUGAUCGGAUUGGUCUGUUUCUGCUGCCCUGGCAUGUUCAUGGCCCUCUCUGGCAUGGGCGGCGGAGGCCAGGUCGACCCGACUGCCUCCAACAACGCCUCCACCGCCCUCUAUACCACCUUCGCCGUCUUCGGAAUUCUCGGCGGCGGCAUCUACAACAUCCUCGGCCCCCGCCUCACUCUCCUCUCCGCCUGCCCCACCUACGUCCUCUACGCCGGCUCAUUCCUCUACUACAACCACCACAAGCACCAGGCUUUCGCUAUUGUCGCCGGAGUAAUCCUCGGAAUCGGCGCCGGCCUCCUCUGGGCAGGCCAAGGCGCCAUCAUGACGUCAUACCCUCCCCCGAACCGAAAGGGGACAUACAUCUCGAUUUUCUGGAGCAUUUUCAACAUGGGUGGCGUCAUCGGUGGACUAAUUCCCUUCGUUCUUAAUUACCACCGGAGCGAAGCGGCUUCCGUCAACGAUGCAACUUACAUUGGGAUAAUGAUUUUCAUGUCCAUCGGGACUCUUUUAUCCCUCUCUAUCCUGCCCGCCAGCAAAGUUGUCCGGGACGACGGGACUAAAUGUACGGACAUUCAGUACUCAAAUGUCACAACUGAGGCCAUUGAGAUUGCCAAGCUGUUUACGAAUUGGAAAAUGCUUCUUAUAAUCCCGGCUGCUUGGUCGGGCAAUUUUUUCUACACCUACCAGUUCAACAACGUCAACCAAAUUAUGUUUAAUCUGAGGACGAGAGGAUUGAACAAUGUGUUCUACUGGGGAGCGCAGAUGUUGGGGUCCAUCGGGAUUGGAUACGUUAUGGAUUUCAGCUUCAAGAGCAGGAGGACGAGGGGUUUCGCUGGCAUUUCAGUAGUUGGUGUUCUCGGGACUACAAUUUGGAUUGGCGGACUUGUCAACCAGCUCAACUACUCUCGCAGUGAUUUGC
rnacentral:lncRNA from 1 species